UCUCGAUAGCGUAAAAGUUAACUCAUAUUUGUAUGGAAUGCGAUCGUUCACCUACGUUUGCCGCUAGGGGCGCUGUUCCAACUGCAUACAAAUUUGGGUUAACUUUUACGCUAUCGA
rnacentral:pre_miRNA from 9 species